rnacentral:rRNA from 1 species
AUGGCUGCCAAAACCCCAAGCUCGUGCUUUGCUUUCCUAAAGGAAGCCCUGAUCCUCCCCACGCGAAACCCUAAGCUCUUCGCGCCCGUGUUCCUCCUGUUGGCCGUCGCCACCUUCCUUGUCCGCUCAGUCCAUGUCGUGUUCAUCCAGCCUCUCGCGGACGACAUGGCCAGGUCCAUCUAUCUCAUCGAGAUGAGGAACACUGGCAUCUCCUGCGCAGAGUGCGCCAAGCUCGAAGAUGGCGCCAGAAGGAUCAUGCUCAUCUCCAUCGCCCAAGUGAUCCUCAUGCUGGCGCUUGGCUUCGUCAAGAAGGCCCUCGCCUUCUUCGCAGCCUCCACGACCUACUCCGGCGACCGCUACUCCCUCGCCGAGCUCGUCCGCAAGGUGAUGUGCAAGGGGAACACCCUGAAGGGCCCUGCUAUCACCUUCGCCGUGGUCACCGCGCUCGGCCUGGCGUGGACGGCCGUGCUGGUCGCCGUGCGUACAACCACCGUGAUGAUGCUUGGCCGCCGCUCGGGCGUUCUCUCUGUCCAGGGCUUCGUUUUCCUCCUCACGCUCCUCGCCGAGCUCUGCUUCGCCGUGGUCGCGCUGGUGAGCGUCGCCGCGUCGGUGGUCGACGGGGAGCGCCGCGGUGUGCGUGCGCUCAGGCAGGCGUGGCGGCUCAUGACGCGGGUGAGGAGGAAGGAGGGCCUCCUGUUGGUAGUCCUGGCGUGCCUCCUGCCUACCGUCGUGGCUCCGGUGUACAGGGCUGCGCUUAUGUACUCGAGGAGGAGCAUGGCGGCGGGCCUGUGCGUGCUCGCUGGGUAUGCUCUUCUGUUCGGUGCGCUGCAGCUGGUCUAUCUGGCGGCAGCCACGGUGUUGUACUACGAAGCCAUGGAGAGCAAGGAGGCGGUGCCUUGUGACGACUAUGCCCAGAUUCCUUCUAAUGAAGGGGAUGUCUGA